rnacentral:lncRNA from 1 species
GAUCACUCUCAUUCAGACAUAGGCCAUGGGAGCAAGGGAUGAAGAAUCGUCUGUAUCAGUGCACUGAGGUGAGUCGUCCCCUGCAGCUGCUUCUCUGGUCCAUCAGGAUGUUGUGAAGAGGAUGGUCAGUGUAUUCCAGGACGGCCUCUACCUACCUGGAGUAUCUCUCCACCACAGCCUCCAGUGUCCCUGGUCCUGGAGCUGUAUAUUGCUGAUGUGCAGUUACUGGCCCCAUCAACCUGCAGUGUCUAUGUGUUGUUUAUUGUUACUGUUCAUUUUUCUCUCAUCUAUCC